rnacentral:lncRNA from 1 species
CAGACUUCCAGCUGCCAUUACCAAGGAUCAAAGAAGAACCUGGGCAGCAUAGUUCAGGGCAAGAAAACACUGUAAAGAAUGCAACCCAGGUCCCAAAAGAGAACAUUAGAAAGCAUUCUCAGCCCAGAUCAUUUGAUCUGAAGACUUACAAGCCUAUGGGAUUUGAGUCUUCCUUUCUGAAAUUUAUUCAGGAAAGUGAGGAGAAGGAUGAUGAUUUUGAUGACUGGGAGCCUUCAGAGCAUUUAACAUUGAAUAACUCUUCUCAGCCCGGUAAUGACUUGACAGGGAAUGUUGUGGCAGAUACCAUAGUGAAUGACAGCGACCCUCAAGUUGACAUACCUCAUUCCUCCAGUGACCCUGCAGUUCCUGAGAACCUGACUGCAAUCCCACCAUUAGUAGUAGCUGAAGCAACAGCAGUUCCUUCCUUGGAGAAUCUGAGGGUUGUGCUGGACAAAGCAUUAACAGACUGUGGGGAGCUUGCCUUAAAACAGCUUCAUUAUCUUCGGCCCGUGGUUGUCCUUGAAAGAUCUAAGUUCUCUACACCCAUUUUAGACUUGUUUCCAACUAAGAAGACAGAUGAGCUUUGUGUUGGAAGUUCCUGAAUCGCUCCAGCACUGCAGUAUGGGGACACUUGCUAACGUGAACAAAGGCUGGGAAGCAGCCACACUUGCUUAGGGUAGAAUAGGCUGUGUAUUUACAUGAAUGUACAGUAUCUGUGUCAGCAGUAUUGGCGGCGUCCAGUAGCUCUCCAGUUGGUUUAUUGGUUGGGAUUUUUUUUUGUUUGUUUGUUUGUUUGUUUAUUAAAAAAUGGAACUGUACUCUUGUUUGGUGCUAAUUAAUACAUCAAAAUAUACUGGGGCUUCCUUUUCCAAUUAAGUGUGCAUGAUUGUAUAUGGAACAUAUAUUAAAGUCCCAGGGUGGGAGGGCUAGGGAAAGGGUAGGAAGUUCUUACUUGACUUGAAUGUGCACCCAAGGGUGCUUUGUGUAAUAUAUUGUACACUACAGCAUCUUAUAUUUUUUGAGUUGAGUUUCAAUAAAUUACAAUUUUUCACCCA